GGUGCGCAGGCGCGCUGUCGCCCGGCCGGUAGCUAAGGAGGCCCAGCUGUGAUCCCGAGGCUUUGUAGGCGCCGCAGCCCUGGCCCUCUAGAGGCCGACGGAGGAGUGCGGGGGAAGUUAGCUUGCGCCUGUCUCGUCAGCCGUGCACGAGAAAAAAAAGGACCUUCGAGAAGAACAAGGGAGGGCAAGAGUUACCGAGUACAGGGACAUCUAUGUGGCCGCUCUGCUUUCCCGCCGUCACCUGCUGUUGAACUCCGGCCGCAUCGCGGUGUCCGGAGCCGCCUGGCCUGGAGUAUGCGCUGAGCGUCACCUAGGCAACCACCCCUGCACCUGUGGAUCAGGGUCUCGCUCUGUUGCCAAGGGUAGAAUGCAGUGUCGGGAUCAUAGCUCACUACAGACUUGACAUCCUGGACUCAAGAGAUCCUCCUGUGUCAGCCUCCCGAGUAGCUGGGACCACUGGCGCGCGACAAAUAAUUUGAAAGUGGGAGGAGGGGAACAGAACCACAUCAAAUGGCAGAUAUCAUAGAAUGAGAACUGAAUAUACGCGUUUUGUGGGAAACGCGUUCUUUUCCCCUUUCUCUAAGAUUCGCUUUUAAUUCACUAGCCACUAACCAGUUACCUAUCUCAUUACAGAUAUAAAAAACAAAA
rnacentral:lncRNA from 10 species